UACGGAGGGAGCUAGCGUUGUUCGGAAUUACUGGGCGUAAAGCGCACGUAGGCGGCUUUGUAAGUUAGAGGUGAAAGCCCGGGGCUCAACCCCGGAAUUGCCUUUAAGACUACAUCGCUUGAAUCCGGGAGAGGUGAGUGGAAUUCCGAGUGUAGAGGUGAAAUUCGUAGAUAUUCGGAAGAACACCAGUGGCGAAGGCGGCUCACUGGACCGGUAUUGACGCUGAGGUGCGAAAGCGUGGGGAGCAAACAGGG
rnacentral:rRNA from 1 species